GAAAAUUUGAAAUAAAAUAAAAUGUAAAUAAAGAUCAAUUUAAAGGUCUGCACGAAGACGAAGGUCUAGUCGCGCAAUUUGACCAUUCGAAGUGCCAAAGUGCAGAUCCAGCAUAUGGAUCGGGUCUGCGCACGGAUCUUCCCAACUCUACACGGCACCGUUUCAACCUCUGCACAAAAUCAAGCCUAAAAAACCAUAAAAUCCAACAUUCAGACACUUAAGAACAAAUUAAAAUAAAAAACCUACAGUCUAUCUCCCUUAUUCAUUCGGCCGAACAUUAGGCACCUUUCAACUGCCGUUUUGCCUCCAUAUUUGGCUGGUGGUCAUCAAGUGAAGGCCAAAUCUGGCCCUAUUCGACCACGAAUCCAAGAGCCUUGCUCAAACGCUUCAAGAUCCUUGUUUAGGCUUUGAUUACGAUGAAGCAAGCAAGGACAUGAAGGAACCAACAUUAAGUUCGUUGCAGGUGUGCAUGGCAUGGAGGAGUUAUUCGUGGGCAUGGAGCGUGGCGUACGUGAAAGAAUCGGUUGGAGGCUGUGUUGGUUCAUUGACGUGAAGGCCUGCUUCUAGGCUAACAAGCGGCGGCACAAGGAAAAGAAACCCUUAGGGUUUCUGCUCAAAAAUGUCUUGGGCCAUUUGGGCCUGUCUUAGGAUAAUUGGGUAGGGUUUCAAUUGGGUUAAGCUUAUUUGGGUUAAUUUGCUUGUAAAUGGGCUAGAUAAUUCGGUUUGUAACAUGGACAUUGAAUUGCUGAUUAUUGGGUUUUAUUUUGUUUUUAUUAUUUA